AUUUAUCUUGUUUUAUAGGUACAUACAGAAACUGUUAUACAAGGUUUUCCAUUAACCCCAUUUUACAAGCGCGUUGUUUUUCGUCUAUGCGCGUACAGAAGCCCUUCGGAAUCAUGCGCCAUGCCGAGAUAAUAUGUACUUGAUAUAUUCAAGUAUAGACUUUAUAAAUUGCGCGUGUCUUUCAAAUUAUCUCUCUGCUAGUUACCGCAGCGUUUCCAGCCUACCUUCAACUUUAAUUUCGACGUAGAAAAGAAAGAGAAGAACGAGUCGCACGCUUUCGCCGUUCUGCCGAAACAACUAUCAGACGAUACGUGUUGACGUCACCAAGCACAAUACAUGUGCAGCUAAGCGUGGCCGUUCUUUAGCUACGAUAUCCACGCGUUAUACAGCCGCGUGGCCGCUUCAACGUUAGCAGUUACAUCGUGUUUCACUAACACCCUAUUCAUUACCCUGCUCACUCCAUCGACCUCGUGUACACGAGUCCGGUCUGCAUUUCAGUCUGCUCGCAUUAAAGCUCUAAAUACCGUGU